rnacentral:lncRNA from 1 species
CGUUCUUAAUCCUAUCUAGUCUGGUGUGCCCGCACAUCCACCUAAGCAUCCUCAUCUCCGCAACCUUCAUUCUUUGAACAUGGGAGUUUUUCAAUGGCCAGCACUCCGUCCCAUACAGCAUAGCAGGUCUAACCACGGCUCUAUAGAAUUUCCCCUUAAGUUUGUGUGGAACUUUCUUGUCACACAGGACCCCUGAGGCGAGCCUCCAUUUUGCCCACCCGACUCCUAUACGAUGGGUGACGUCCCCGUCAAUCUCUCCGUCCCCCUGAAUCACAGACCCAAGAN